GACGAGCUGGCGGCGUGCUUAACACAUGCAAGUCGAACGGAAAGGCCCUGCUUUUGUGGGGUGCUCGAGUGGCGAACGGGUGAGUAACACGUGAGUAACCUGCCCUUGACUUUGGGAUAACUUCAGGAAACUGGGGCUAAUACCGGAUAGGAGCUCCUGCUGCAUGGUGGGGGUUGGAAAGUUUCGGCGGUUGGGGAUGGACUCGCGGCUUAUCAGCUUGUUGGUGGGGUAGUGGCUUACCAAGGCUUUGACGGGUAGCCGGCCUGAGAGGGUGACCGGCCACAUUGGGACUGAGAUACGGCCCAGACUCCUACGGGAGGCAGCAGUGGGGAAUAUUGCACAAUGGGCGGAAGCCUGAUGCAGCAACGCCGCGUGCGGGAUGACGGCCUUCGGGUUGUAAACCGCUUUCGCCUGUGACGAAGCGUGAGUGACGGUAAUGGGUAAAGAAGCACCGGCUAACUACGUG
rnacentral:rRNA from 1 species